UGAAAAAGAUGAGAGCUUCCUCAGCCU
rnacentral:piRNA from 1 species